GCACUCGUAGCUCAACUGGAUAGAGCGCAGCCCUCCGAAGGCUGAGGUUAUGGGUUCGACCCCCGUCGAGUGCA
rnacentral:tRNA from 1 species